UGCCAGACUCCUACGGGAGGCAGCAGUGAGGAAUAUUGGUCAAUGGGCUUACGCCUGAACCAGCCAAGUCGCGUGAGGGAAGACUGCCCUAUGGGUUGUAAACCUCUUUUGUCAGGGAGCAAUUGGCGCUACGUGUAGCGUUAUCGAGAGUACCUGAAGAAAAAGCAUCGGCUAACUCCGUGCCAGCAGCCGCGGUAAUACGGAGGAUGCGAGCGUUAUCCGGAUUUAUUGGGUUUAAAGGGUGCGCAGGCGGCGCGGCAAGGCGGGGGUGAAAUCGCGGGGCUCAACCCCGCCCAGCCGUCGGAACUGCCGGGCUAGAGUGGGCGAGAAGUGCGCGGAAUGCGUGGUGUAGCGGUGAAAUGCAUAGAUAUCACGCAGAACUCCGAUUGCGAAGGCAGCGCACCGGCGCCCUACUGACGCUCAGGCACGAAAGCGUGGGUAUCGAACAGGAUUAGAUACCGUCGUA
rnacentral:rRNA from 1 species